rnacentral:rRNA from 1 species
CCUACGGGUGGCAGCAGUGAGGAAUAUUGGUCAAUGGACGAGAGUCUGAACCAGCCAAGUCGCGUGAAGGAUGACUGCCCUAUGGGUUGUAAACUUCUUUUAUAUGGGAAUAAAACGUUCCACGUGUGGGAUUUUGUAUGUACCAUAUGAAUAAGGAUCGGCUAACUCCGGGCCAGCAGCCGCGGUAAUACGGAGGAUCCGAGCGUUAUCCGGAUUUAUUGGGUUUAAAGGGAGCGUAGGUGGAUUGUUAAGUCAGUUGUGAAAGUUUGCGGCUCAACCGUAAAAUUGCAGUUGAAACUGGCAGUCUUGAGUACAGUAGAGGUGGGCGGAAUUCGUGGUGUAGCGGUGAAAUGCUUAGAUAUCACGAAGAACUCCGAUUGCGAAGGCAGUUCACUGGACUGCAACUGACACUGAGGCUCGAAAGUGUGGGUAUCAAACAGGAUUAGAUACCCCUGUAGUC